AUCGCAUCCUGGGGCUGUAGUCGGUCCCAAGGGUUGGGCUGUUCGCCCAUUAAAGCGGUACGCGAGCUGGGUUCAGAACGUCGUGAGACAGUUCGGUCCCUAUCCGUCGUGGGCGUAGGAAAUUUGAGAGGAGCUGUCCUUAGUACGAGAGGACCGGGAUGGACAUACCUCUGGUGUACCAGUUGUCGUGCCAACGGCAUAGCUGGGUAGCUAUGUGUGGACGGGAUAAGUGCUGAAAGCAUCUAAGCAUGAAGCCCCCCUCAAGAUGAGAUUUCCCAACUUCGGUUAUAAGAUCCCUCAAAGAUGAUGAGGUUAAUAGGUUCGAGGUGGAAGCAUGGUGACAUGUGGAGCUGACGAAUACUAAUCGAUCGAAGACUUAAUCAAAA
rnacentral:rRNA from 1 species